UCGAGAAUUUUUCACAAUGGGCGAAAGCCUGAUGGAGCGACGCCGCGUGGGGGAUGAAUGGCUUCGGCCCGUAAACCCCUGUCAUUUGCGAACAAACCUUACCGGUUAACAACCGGUGAGCUGAUUGUAGCGGAAGAGGAAGGGACGGCUAACUCUGUGCCAGCAGCCGCGGUAAUACAGAGGUCCCGAGCGUUGUUCGGAUUCACUGGGCGUAAAGGGUGCGUAGGUGGUGAGGUAAGUCGGAUGUGAAAUCUCCGGGCUCAACCCGGAAAUGGCAUUGGAAACUACCUUGCUGGAGGAUUUGAGGGGGGAUUGGAAUACUUGGUGUAGCAGUGAAAUGCGUAGAUAUCAAGUGGAACACCAGUGGCGAAGGCGAAUCCCUGGAAAAUACCUGACACUGAGGCACGAAAGCUAGGGGAGCAAACAG
rnacentral:rRNA from 1 species